rnacentral:rRNA from 1 species
UACGGAGGGUGCAAGCGUUGCUCUGGAAUUAUUGGGCGUAAAGGGGUAGGUAGUGGUCUCAUUUGUCGUGGGGUGAAAGCCUUGAGGCUUAAACUCCAAGAAGUGCCCCAGAAACGGUUGGAGACUAGAGUUCUGGAGAGGGUCGUGGAAUUCCCGGUGUAGCUCGGUGAAAUGCGGUAGGAGAUCGGGAGGAACACCAGAGGGCGAAAGGCGGCGACCUGGACGGGAUACGUGACACUCGAACUACUGAAAGCGUGGGUAGCAAACAGG